rnacentral:tRNA from 1 species
GGAGAUGUGGCUCAGCAGUUAAGAGCACUGACUGCUCUUCCAAAGGACCUGGGUUCAAUUCCCAGCAACCACA